CCGCGUUCCGGUUGCGGAUGAAUACUUUCAUCACUCCAAAGAAAAAUCCUGCCUCCAGUAGCAGUCAUUCUACAUUCACCACGUCCACUCCGCCUCAAGUCCUAGACAAUUGCUAGUAUACUUUCUGUCUGUAUAGCCUUGCCAAUUCGCACGUUUGAUAUAAAUGAAAUCAUACAGUGCAGCUGGCUUCUUUCAUUAAGUAUAAUGUCAAUGUUUUUGUGACUAGCUUCUUUCAUGACUUUUGUUCUUUUUUUAAACGGAGUCUCAUGACUCUCACUCUGUAGCCCAGGCUGGAGUAUAGUGGCACGAUCUUGGCUCACUGCAACCUCUGCUGCCCAGGUUCAAGCUAGUCUCCUGCCUGAGCCUCCCGAGUAGCUGGGACUACAGGCGCCUGCCACCACGUUCGACUAAUUUUUGUAUUUUUAGUAGAGACGAGGUUUCACCAUCUUGGCCAGGCUGGUCUUGAACUCCUCAGCUCUUGAUCAACCUGCCUCAGCCUCUCAAAGUGCUGAGAUUACAGGUGUGAGCCACCACGCCCGGCUAUCUUCUUAUACUAUGUAUAAUAUUUUCAAAGCUUGUCUUUGUAUCAUGUGUCAGACUGUUAGCAAAUAAAUAAAACUCUGUAAA
rnacentral:lncRNA from 10 species